GACGUGACUUCAGAGUUUGAUCCUGGCUCAGGACGAACGCUGGCGGCGUGCCUAACACAUGCAAGUCGAACGGGGUGAGAUCCUUCGGGGUUUCACUUAGUGGCGAACGGGUGAGUAACGCGUGAGAAACCUGCCUCUCAGUGGGGGACAACAGUUGGAAACGACUGCUAAUACCGCAUAACACUUUAGUACCGCAUGGUACAGAAGUCAAAGCUUUAUGUGCUGAGAGAUGGUCUCGCGUCUGAUGAGCUAGAUGGCGGGGUAACGGCCCACCAUGGCGACGAUCAGUAGCCGGUCUGAGAGGAUGAACGGCCACAUUGGGACUGAGAUACGGCCCAG
rnacentral:rRNA from 1 species